UGCUGGAUGACUAAAUAUCUGAUGAGGAAAUUCAGCAUUAUUGUGUCAGAUGAUGGCAUGAUGGUGUGCACUUUUCUUCUAGUAAGACGUUGCGAUCCAUUAGAAAAAUAUUAAGAAAUCUGUAUAUAGGCCCAAAUAGGAGUUUAUGCAUUAAGCGAGUAACAUGACUUUGUUGUUAUGUGAAUGCGUGUAAACUAUUUGGUGUUCUUACAGAUGUCUGAUGGUGCUUUGAUUGAAUGUCGCAUACAAUUUUUUCUAUAAAUUGAUAUCUCUUGUGGAUAUGAUGCGUACAUUAUCAGCAACGUUUUAGAUUUAGGAUACCAUCAGGACCCGUCUUGAAACACGGACCAAGAAGUCUAACUUGUAUGCAAGUCAAUGGGAUUAUUAAAACCUAUAGGCGAAAUGAGAUUAACUUGUUAAUGGGAUUACAAAUGGUGUAUCAAUUAUACUGUUUUUCCAUCCCCGGGUAUCUUAAUGUAAGUACUGUAGUUUCGGCUGCGUGUACUACAAAGAUAUACCGUGAGCAUACAAGCUGUGACCCGAAAGAUGGUGAACUAUGCCUGAUCAGGUUGAAGUCAGGGGAAACCCUGAUGGAAGACCGUAGCAAUUCUGACGUGCAAAUCGAUUGUCAGAGUUGGGUAUAGGGGCGAAAGACCAAUCGAACCAUCUAGUAGUUUUCCCCCUUUCCGAAAA
rnacentral:rRNA from 1 species